rnacentral:tRNA from 1 species
GGUAAGAUGACUGAAUUAUAGGUGAUAGAUUGUAAAUCUAUUAAUGGGAAAAUUUUCCCUCUUAUCA